ensembl:lncRNA
GGUAGGUAGGUAGGUAGGUAGGUAGGUAGGUAGGUAGAUAGGUAGAUAGAUAUACUGUACACUAUGUGAGUGUUUUGAGUGAAUUUGAGUCAAGUUAUUGGUCUUGCAUCUUCAAGUACUAUGAACAUUUCUCCCAUGUUCAUUCAUAAUCUGUCAGUAAUGUUUUCCUCUACUUUGAUAAGAAACUCAGAAACAGUGACCAUCACUCUAAUUGAUGCAUCUGCAUCAAUGUGGACAAAACUGCAGUGCUGAUGAAUGUAUGCCUGUACUGUGUGUUUAAAAUAAAAUCCCCAUCCUUACUCUUUCUUUUCCAUUAAUGUAAAUUCUUCUGUGGCGACAGGAAGUAUUUGUUGCUCUUUUGCCUGUAAUGGCACGGUCUGACUAAUGUUUAACUGGCCUAUUUUAAGUUCUGUUGCUCUCUGAGACAAGCCAAAGCGCUUUGUUUUUUCUUUCCUUUUCCCAUAAAGCUCUUACGAACGCCUCAUGUUGGAUGACCCCGUUCAUGGCCCUGUAACUUUGCUCAGCAAUUUAGUGUUAGCUGCUCCCUUCUGAUUUCUAGUGGCAUUCCACCCAGCUCUGCUCAUUAUGCUGCUAUUGGGGUUGUUUUACACGCAGGUGCGCUGGAAUUCCUGUCUGCUUAGUUAUUUUCAAUUAAACAUAUGAUUACAUUUAACACUCUUGCAUUUCUUACUGUUUUUCUUCAUUGUGUGUGACCCAUGUAAUCCUUUCAUGAAACCACGACCAACUCUUGAUUACUUACAUUUUCCAGUGUAAAGCUUCCCUUGACAUGUAUGUAUUUAUCCUGCUGUAGUUUUUAAAAGAAAUGUAUCUGUGUAAUAAUUUGUAAUGCCUAUUUUCCUCACUUUCAUUAGUUGACCUUCUCUUCACAUUGUGUCAUAUUGUAUGUCAUGGCACUUUGUUUGUUUACAUUGCCUUUUCUAAUUUCAUGUUUUAAACAUAAAGCUGGUUCAGUUGUACUUCUCCCUCUUCUAAGCCCACUUUCAAUUUUAUUAUCUAUAUAGUACUUUAACCAUUCAUUUCAUAUAUUCUCCAUUGUUUUGCAGAUUUGGAUUUUUUAAGUUACUGGUCUGUAAUUUCCUAGUUCUCUCUCAUCUUUCCCUGGUUUUCACAUUGUUACUACCACUGCUAACAGAGCCUCCCAGUCUCUGUUACACAGCUCUAAUAAGAUAUUUCUAGAUGUCUCACUAAGAUUGGUUAUUAGAUUUUCUCUUAGUGCUGAAUCUGCUUUAAUACUGAUUCUGUCCCAACUUCCAUCAUUUAGACAUAAAACAUUUUCCAUAUUUCCAUUUCUUCCUCGUGUCUCUUGUGCAGGUGAAGUAAUUUAUUAUAUUUCAAAUAUUUAUUUCAGUUAUGUCACAAGUUAAACUAAACAGGACUCUCUGGCUGCAUAGUACUAUGCACUCGUAGACAUGAUAUGAAAACUGUUUGACUCCAC